rnacentral:rRNA from 1 species
UGCGUAGAGUGCAAACGUUAUCCGGAUUUAUUGGGCGUAAAGAGUUGCGUAGGCUGUUCGAUAGAUUUUGUUUGAAAUGCUAUGAUUUAAUCAUAGAUUUGGGCAAAAUAUCAUCGGACUUGAUGGUUGGAGAGGGUGCUGGAACCGAUGGUGUAGCAGUGAAAUGCGUUGAUAUCAUCGGGAACACCAAAGGCGUAGGCAGGCACCUAGUCAAUCCAUGACGCUGAGGCACGAAAGCUGGGGGAGCGAAAUCGAUUAGAUACCCCAGUAGUCC